GAAGCCGCGGCUCCCAUUGAUGUCAAUCGCGGAUUAAUAACUUCGUAAAGGGCCUCGUAGUGAUGGUCGUCCGCCAGAUCAUCGCCAUCGCUUUCACCUGGAUCCAGCGAUUUAAUCAAAAAGAGAUGGUCACGGAUACAAACGGAGAUCCCCCGGAAGAGGAGAAAGUUCUAGGACGAACAAAAAUUCUUUUUCUUCGUGACCGCAGAAUUGCGAAAGAUGAUGUCCGCCUGCGUGCGAAGAGAAACAAAAGAGGACAAACCUUCCAACCAGCAAGCUACUGACUGCAUUUCUAUCGUGUCUUCAACUGUGACAUUCCUCAUCGCUUGAAUGUUAUUCCUACCACCGGAAGGCGGCAGGGGGGCUGGUGGACGACAUCCGUCCAACUUGGGAGCAACUGGCUCGACUAGACCUUCAAGGGAAUUGGCCAGGCAAAUACGUGACGUGGACGACACGUACACUUGAUACGGAUCGUUGUCCUUUUGGCUGCGGGAUCGAUCCGUUUUCACGUUCCUCAUCAACGCUCCUUGGAACUCUGAAAGCUGAGCAGGGAGUGGCUGAUGGCUGAUGGAGCGGAGACGAGCCGGGAGUGGCGGUCGGGCCGGAGGCGGCCGCUUCUUGACAGAAUGUUGGCCAGCGCCAUCGUUACGGACAGACUUGGCGACGGGUUUUUCCGUCUCUUUACGCUCCAAUAGAGCGGCGGCGCUGCUGGCGUGUCGACGCAACAACAUGAUCUGUUGCGGAGACAUGUGAUCCCGAUGGAUGUAAAUCUACGCCACGCUGCCGUUGUUCGCAAUUGUAGCUGCAGCGACCCGUCUCCAAUGUCGAAUUAUGAGCGACGAAAUGAAACAUUACAACCGAUCAGGUCCGGCAGCGAACACAACGACGACCUUGGUGGGCAACACAAAAAAAUUCUGCCUGCCAGCCAACACCGACAAAUUCUUAUCCUAUGGCAACCAUAGUACGCACGGUAUACUUUCACUCUAACACAAAAAAAAACUCUCUUUUUACUGUUCUCCAGACAUGAGUCAACUUUUAGAGGUUCUGAAACCACGAUGAACCAUCGGAGGAAUGGAAAAAGGGCACCAUCUGCUUUCUUAAAAACUAUUGUUUUUCGGCUGAUGGUAAAGACAAAUCGGAUAUUACGAUGGCUACAUUUAAUUACAAGAACAUCCAGAGAAACACACAAAAGGAUGGUCACACUGGAAGGACACGACCAAAACAGAACGGAGGUAAAUUUUUUUAAGACUUUGUUUUGUUUUUCGUUGCUUGUGUGUGUUGAGCGAACGAAAAACUUUCGCUUCGGCUCUGGCGCCGAGUUAGAAACUCUCUGAGAGUGAGACACACACAAACAUACGUCCUGGCCACCAAUCUCUCGGCUCACAUACGUAAAAAGAAAACUUUCACUCCCGACGCUAUCGCCAUCUCUUGUGUGGAACUGACAAUUCGAUGGAAAAAUUGCCUAGGACCUCCUGUCCGCGCACACAUUCCUUUCAAGGACUCUAUGGCAGACUGACGUCACCCGCCUUUGUGGAAAAAAGAAAGACCUUGGUGAUGGCGCCGGCGGAAUUGAUUAGAAAAACAGAUGAUGGGCAAGCAAGAGGCAACCAAACCAGUAUAUGCCAUCUACACACCGACCCUGCAAAAGUAACCCAAAAACCGUGUGUGUACCUUUGACUUAGACAACGUCCCUGUGUGCAAAAUAACCCUGCGGGCUCUCUUGUGUUAUAAGCCGAGAUGUUAUUUUAUUUUGCCUGGCGCACCUUUUUCUACCUCAUUUCUUGCCUCUCUUGUAUACGUGUCAUUUAAACCAACUCGUUUUCCUUUUUAUUUUUAUUUUUCCUCCUGGAACACUCCCAACCGGAGCCGCGGAUGAAACCAGACCCCCCUCAAGCUAUUACAGCUAUCAGUUGGGAAAUCGCUCGAACGAAAAUCUCCGAAAAACGUUUAAAGAAAAGAAGGCGCAAACGACAAAGUACAGGAUAAUCAAUAAUUGCGGAAUCGUCCUUGGAAAGUUCAAAAUCAACCGAGAAGAUUCAAUGCUGUGAAAACACCCGCACGUUCUUGAAAAACGAGAGGGAAAAAAAUUGCGGUGGGAAGUAAUAUGGUAACUUCCGGUGGACGCCAUCACCAUAGUUUUUAUCUACGAGAGAACAGGAAUCCCACAUGUCCGCAUCUUGUUUUGUUUUUUUACCACGCAAAAAUGAAAAUGCUCCACCAAUUUAUUUUGGUUCAGUUUUAUAGUUCAUUCACGAUCUGAGCUGCGUGAUGAUGCGAGAGCUCCUAUGACUGAUUUCGACAUUCUCAGCUUUUUAUGGCGAGCUUUCAACUUGGAAAAGGUGAACAGUUUCGUCAUUCAACGAAUGCCGCGGCUUCUAAUGGCCUUCGACAAUAUCUCACGCAACACACCUGACUGUUGUUGGACAAAGCUGUGCAGCACGUUUUGGAUAGACAGAAGGAUGACAAUCGUACUGGUAAAACAACUGGAGCUCUCCGGAAUUUGUAUAGUUGAACCGAUGUGGCGACCUUGGAUUGGUGCGAAAAGAUUUUUUCGAAGACGACAAUGUACCGAAAAAGGAAACCAAGCCGUCACUAACGACGUCGUUGGAAACAAUCAACAGGGAAUGACUGCCUCGUUAAACCACAGAUGCGUAAGAGCUACCGACAACAGGAUAACUGGGUGGAGUGAAAACCGAAAAUGCACCACAAGGAAGAAAAACGAGGACUGGAUCACGCGCUAACGAGGAAUGAUACGGUCGGUAGGAGAUGGAAAAAAAGAAGAAGAUUUAGUUCCCACGAUUGUGCCAACCAACUUUUUUUGUCGACGUGUGCGGCGCUUCAGUUUUUAGCUUUUUUGGAAAUGGAUGAAAAACGGGAACGCACAAGUAGCUACAAGCUGCGCAUAUGCCUAAAAAUGGAUUGUUUCACGGCAGAGUGGUCCACAGCGAUUUACAACGUCCCACGAUCGAACAUCAAACGAGAACUGGUUCGUUGUUUUCCAUUCUCGUUCACGAAGAGGUGCAGCCGAAUUGUUUUUAAACUGCAUCCCGUUCAAAGGUCAACGGCCAGCAUUCGAAUGAGUUAGAAAGAGAACCAACAGCAAAUCUUAGGCGGACCAAGAUGACGUCAGAGAGGCUAUUCGGGGAAACAAAAACAAAAGGAAUUGCUGAAAGAGGAAAAAAAAAAGCGACCACCCUCGUGUUAUGCGGAACUACCGUACGCUGGAGAGAAAGAGAAAUUGGCUAAUCAGUAUCAGCUGUAUCGAAUUCCAAACAACAAGAGUGAGAUGAUGGCCUCCCCAUUUUUUUUUAUGUUGUUAUCUAUUCUAUACUUUCAAGGUUCUUCUAAUAAUGCUAUUAUUUAUUAUUCCCCUGUUUAUUCAAGAGCGUAUCCGCCACACAAGGCGGAACAAGCGCUUACGAAUGUUGGCCAGAUUGUCAUAUCCAACGGCCGGCUAUUGCUGCGAGCCAAAUUACAUUUCCAGGAAUUAGUGAAACAUAUUUGAUCUCUUAUCAUUAAAUUUUUCUUUUCUUUUUAUUCAUAUGCAAUCUUUUACACAUGUCAACGUUUCCUAACGGAUAGUGCGACCCAACUAAGCCACCACGAAAGUUGAGGAAAAGACAAGAAAACUCGGGAAACAGGAAGAAAAAUGGUGGGAUGGCGUGUUGAGCUUUAGAAGCGGAGAAAAAAAAAAACUGGUUGCUGGCCCUAUCUUCAUGGAUGACCUUCUUAGGGUUUGCCGCUGUUGCACUUGGCAUCUUAUAUCUUUAGCAUUUUUAUUCAAUGGGAAAAAUGGAAAGAAAAAGGAAACAAACUUACCUUGCUGGUCGAAUCACGUCAGCCAACACUCGAUGGGAAUGUUCAACUGGAAGAAUGUUCAUUUUUCACACACACACUAAAACACGGCGGUGCAGCAAAACGAGAAAGAUCCAAAUAUCUUCCAGGAGACGAACGUGAAUGGCAGUCAGCUUCUUUUACACGAAAGGAGAUGUAUAAGCAGGUUGAACGCCAGCCACACACACACGCGGUUAUCGCUGUCAAGGUGAAGUCAUUUCAUUUGCAGUCCCAACUAUAGAAACGGACCGGCUCUUCUGCCUCGGUGUGUCGUGUUUUUUUUAUAACACAUUCGAGCGACACACAACACUGUGAGAUGGGUUCCGACUCAAGAAAGGGCAUGAAACCAUGGUCUUUGCUCCUGACGACCAGGCGUCUGACAAAUCUUUCGGGCACAGUGUUUCUUGGGAGAUCCCGUCAGCUGAUGUGGGAUGUUGUUGUCUAUUGGAAUGUCACAAUUUGGAGCGCAGUCUCGUCUACCAACCAAAAUUUCGGAUAGAAGCGCUGCCCAACCAACCGCCCGCUUCACCUCCUCUUGGUCGACUGUUGAUGGCCACAAGACGUGCGCUUAGUGUUGAGCUGGCCAACGGGUGAGGCUGCUAUCCCCUUCUCUUCGAGGAAAAAGAAGGAAAAAAAAAGAGAGGUUUACUGAAAGACGGAAAGAAAAUGCAAAGGGAAUCGAAUAAAACGUACACAAGGCGAAAGAAGGAGAAGCAAAAAGGAGGAACUUCGUCCCAAAGUCGAGGUAGACGCUCUUUGGCUGGCCAGCUCUUUUCCAUCUUUCAAGAAGCUGUGGGAUACCAAAAUGAUGCAUCCCGCUCGGCCAGGGUCAACUUGAUUUUCCUUUUUUUUUAAAUUAUUAUUUACAUUUGUGGCUGCCUUUUUUUUUUCGGCUCGUGUGUAAUCGCCCACACGUUCGGGCGACCAAGAAUCCGAUACGAAAAAUUCGCGAUAUUGAAUGGCGUGCCCUGAUCAUAACUUUGGCGGACGCCUAGUCGGCCGGGCAAGAGGACGGAAGAGGUGAUGGCGAGCGAUACGGCAAGAUGCUGGUUUACAAUGGCAAAGGUCGCAUCGCAAUAGUGUUGUAUUAUAAAAUGCUCGAUGGGGAUAUUUUUUUAUGACUGGGGCCGUCGCUGUUGUUGAAUUAUUCAUCUACUCUGCCCUCUAUAAAUGUACGAGGUGAAAAGUGGGCGAUCAUCAAAAUAUACCCAAAAAUACUUAGGUUUAUUUUUGUGUUUUUACGAUGGGGACGUCGCUUAAGGUUGAGAUGCUUUUGCACGAUCUUGUAGAUGGCCGACAAAGCUCGUGGAAACGCACUCACCUGGCUCCAUUCAAAUAUUUUUCCAUACGUGCGCUGUCAUAAUGGCAUAUCGACCGAAUCUUAGCCUCCUGACAACAACAAUAAUUUUGAAACAAUUCUCGCCAAAGUGAUCGUUUCAUAGGCGGGUAAAAAAUAAGUAAACUAAGUCGAUUCGGAUGAGAAAUUCUCCGAGAAAGUUAACGAAUGUAUUACAAUGACAGUAGACACUGUAUAAAAUCACGCUUUUUCCUUUAUUGCAUAAGUUGGCCGAGGAAA